rfam:Hordeum vulgare subsp. vulgare, WGS project CAJW01000000 data, contig: morex_contig_45014
CACAUACUCCCUCCGUUCUAAAUUUUUUGUUUUAGGUUUGUCUAAAAAUGGUGUAUCUAAAUACUAAAACGUAAUUAGGUACAUUCAUACCUAGACAAAUCUAAGAUAAAAAAAUUUAGGAUGGAUGGAGUAUUUA